CGGUUGAUCCUGCCGGACCCCACUGCUAUCGGGGUGGGACUAAAACAUGCUAGUCGAGCGUCUCCAAAUUUAAGAGACGCGGCACACGGCUCAGUAACUCGCGGGCAACCUGCCCUUGGGACAGGGACAACCCCCGGAAACUGGGGCGAAUCCCUGAUAGGUGAAAGUUCCUGAAAGGGAUUUUCGCUCAAAGGACGUUUAGACCAUGCUUCUAGGCGUCGCCCAAGGAGGGGGCCCGCGACCGAUCAGGUUGUUGGUGAGGUAACGGCUCACCAAGCCUUUAACCGGUACGGGCCGUGAGAGCGGAAGCCCGGAGAUGGGCACUGAGACAAGGGCCCAGGCCCUACGGGGCGCAGCAGUCGCGAAAACUCCGCAAUACACGAAAGUGUGACGGGGCCAUCCCGAGUGCCAUCCGCUGAGGAUGGCUUUUCCCCAGUGUAUAAAGCUGGGGGAAUAAGGAGAGGGCAAGCCUGGUGUCAGCCGCCGCGGUAAUACCAGCUCUCCGAGUGGUGGGGAUGCUUAUUGGGCCUAAAGCAUUCGUAGCCGGCUGGGCAAGUCCUCCGUUAAAUCCAACGAUUCAAUCGUUGGGCUGCGGGGGAUACUGUCCGGCUAGGGGGCGGGAGAGGCCGACGGUAUCCCCGGGGUAGGGGUGAAAUCCUAUAAUCCCGGGAGGACCACCAGUGGCGAAGGCUGUCGGCUAGAACGCGCUCGACGGUGAGGGAUGAAAGCUGGGGGAGCGAACCGGAUUAGAUACCCGGGUAGUCCCAGCUGUAAACGAUGCAGGCUAGGUGUUGGCGCGGCUACGAGCCGCUCCAGUGCCGCAGGGAAGCCGUUAAGCCUGCCGCCUGGGAAGUACGGCCGCAAGGCUGAAACUUAAAGGAAUUGGCGGGGGAGCAC
rnacentral:rRNA from 1 species